CCAACCAGUGCUGUCCCCCACCCUGGAGGCCCUUCCCAUGUCCCACCCCUUGCUGGCUGACCCCUGCUCGCCCCUGGACUUGGUCCAGGGGAACUCAGCGGCCUGGGAACCUCCCAGGCACCGUACUCCCUCCUGCUGGGCUCCUCCCCGGCCCUUGUCCCAGCUCACUUCCCUGGGUCGCAUGGCCCCUGGCUUUGGUCAUCUCCUUCACAGCUUGUGAUCAGCCCUCAAGGUCAGGGGUGGUCUCUGAUUAUCUCUGUUUUGCCAGCACCGUGCUUGGUAUAUUUCUGAUGAUGAACUGGGCAAUCUAACAAUUGGGGGAGAGAUAGUCACAAGGUAUUUAUUGAAGGACGAGUAGGAGUUUGCCGGGUAGGACAUUCCAGGCAGAGUGAAGAGCUUUUGCUAAGGACAGAGUUUGAGGAAGGUGAGAAGAAGCUGCUCAAGAAGCAAGCCCGGAAGAGAACAGACUGGACUGGGCCUGGUGGCUCCUCCUGUCACUCCAGCUACUGGGGAAGCUGCGGCAGGAGGAUUGCAAACUCCAGGCCUACCUGAGCAACUAUCUCAAACAAUGAAAAGGGCUGGGGAUUCUGCUCAGUGCGGGGCACAGGCCUUGCUCAACCCUCGGGUCAAGGAAAGAGGCCGCAACCGAACACCCGGCACUGCCUUCACAGGUGCUCACACUCCUGCUGGGACACUGACUCAGGCACAGCAGCCACAUCGGGCAGGUGAUUCCACCUGACACAGUGAGUGUCUCCCCUGACCCCAGAUCCUGUGCACUGUGGGCUGGGCCCCAGGAUGUCCCUGUGGUCAUCAAUGCCAUUUGCACAAACGCGUAUGACGCAUAUCUCUCAGCUCUGAUGGGGGGUGCAAAAUGAUUGCACAGAGCACAGCUUGGUGGCUUUGAGGUGGCAGUGCGGCUGGGGCAGAACUAAGUAGAAGCCACCAGAUCAAGGCUUAGCUAUGGGGCUAGGGUCUUCUGGGGUUCUCAGGAACUAGUGACAGGAUGCAGCCUCGCACCCCGUGUACGGGCUCCCUACAGGGAGCCUCAGACUCGCUAGCACAGUGGUGGGUGCCCCACCUGUGCCCAGCUGGAACCCAGCAGUCCAGCCACCCUCGGGUGGGUGCCCCGGCCCAGCCUUCUCACUUCCCCAGAACACAGGGCUAUCUCCGUGGGUGAGGCGGGAGGCCCAGUAGAGCGGCUAGGCUGAAGGUGACCUGAGCACCCCUGCUUCCUCAGCAAGCACAUUGAUCUUUCUAGAGUGGGGUGUGGGUCCUAAAGACACCACUGUGCUCUCUCAGCCUCAGUUUCCUCAUGUAGAAAGUGGGAGCUCAGGAAGGUCCAGCUCCUAGGAACAUCAGAAUGAUCCCAUACUCAGAGAGAAAGAAGUGAUGAAGCCUCUGCCACCUCCCCCCAGGGCUGGCCAGGCAGGUCUCAGCCUGAGGCUCUGGGCAUCCUGUGGAUGGCUGGCAGGCAGCCUUGGGAGGACCGAGUGCAGGGCAGGGCUGAGGACAGGGAGCGUGGCCCUGGAGGUUGUUCUGAUCUGAAACACAAGAAGCACCUGGCUGCUCUGGAGACUGUGAUCGCGGAGCCCAGGGUGGGACCUGGGGGCUCUGGCGCUGUCCCUGGCUCAUCCCCAACUCCACUGCAGCUCUCCAGGUGCUCUUGAUCCUGGGGACAUGGUGGUUUCUGCACAGCAUAAGUCUGAAGCUCCCAUGGGGUGUCUGCCUGAUUGAAGCAUGGCCCCUCUGCCCUGAGUUCCUGCCCCUCUCCCCAUCCUGGCCACCUCCUCCUUCUCUUCCUCCCCUUCCCUCUGGCCUCAGCCCCCCACCUCUCAACUCCCAGGGUUCACAUCAUCAUCCUCCAGGGGGCAGAUGAACUCCAGUCAGGACAGAGGUGUCCAUGGGCAGAGACCUCCUCGAGGCCACUGGAAGUCCUCACUGGUUUGGUCCCAUCACCUGUGCUGGGGACCUCAGGUCCUGGAAUGGGACCCAUGGCCCAGGUAAAGCCCUCCAGGAGGGGCACUGCACACAGCAAGGACUCGGAGGGUCCAGUGGCCCAUGUGGUACCCAUGGCGGGUCUGCAUGGCAGACUCAAGAGACCUAUAAUCCCAAAGGGAUUUGUAGGAAGAUACCCAAAGGCACUGGGAGCUGAUGUGGCCUCAGCUGUAGGAUACCCAAGUUCUCCCCUGGAUCUUGUCCUCUGCCAUCUCCAAUACAGGGAUCCCCUGCUUCUGGGACCCCUUGCAGCUGGGUGGAGUCAUGUGACCAGUUCUGGCCAAUGGGCUGUGAAUAGAAGGGACACGGUUUAAUUCUGAGCCCAACAGAGACCCUGGAGACCUCCACACACUCCCUUCCUGCUGCAGAGGGUGCUGAGGUUCUGCAUUCAGAUCUAGGUCCCUUGCCACACACGGCCACCCCUGGGGAGGUGCAGGAAGGGCAACCCAGGGGUCCCUCACUCCCAGGCAUUCUGACACAGGACCCGGCAGGUGCUGACCUGGAAGGCCGGUGCCAUCGGCAGCCAGUAGAUUGGCCUGGAGAUGGGCAGAGGUGAUAUUGGGAAAUAGAGAUCGGUCCUGUCUGUUUCUCGGCUGAGACCCCUGAAGCCCUAGGAAUCCCCACAGGGGCUGUUCCUAAGCUGAGCCGCCCGCUGAGCUGGCAGCGGCUAGUAGCUUCACAACUGGAUUGGCCCUGGCCAAGUAGGAAUUAGAACCUGAGAUUUUCUGCCCCAGCCCACGAGAGAGAAGAGGGCUGCAGGCUGAGCUGACCACGACUCCGGUGAUGAAACUCAGAAAGCCUAGGGAACGAAGUGGGCACGAACCCCCAAAGCCUGGGUUUGGGGAGAGCUGAAAGGCUGAAGUGGGGAGUAGGCCCCUACCCAAGGGCUUCCCCCUCCCCCAGAUUCUGUGCGCCCCUUCCUGCCUCUGUGCUGGGUGUGCGCCGGUCCUAUGUCUGCUGCUCCUGGCCGCUCUCCUGCCGGCCCUGUGGGCAGCUGCCAAUGCUUCUGAAUCUGCCCGGCUGCCACAGCUGCCCUGUGUGCCCUCCACUCCGCCUCAGCCAGGAAGACAUCCCCUCGGGAAGUACCCACUCUAGAUGGCUCCCCUGACCUUGGACACUCUGGGGCCCUGAGUGUCUUUUCUAUCCAGCAGCGGUCAGUCUUGGGGUGCUGUCUGGGAUUGGUCUCCUCAGCGUGCCCCGGGGUAGCAGAUGCCCAGCCUCAGGCAUUCCAGCCACCAGAUGGGUGGCCGGGGCAGGCUGAGGACGUCUCCAGAGGACCCAGCUGCCUAGGGCGGGGGCAGGGACAGGACCUACCUGCUCCUGCUGUGGGCACCGACUUUCCCCCAGGAACCCACUCAAGGCUCCAGAAGCCACGCUCCUCUCCCUGCCUUUUGCCAGGUAUAGCUCAGGUAGAUGUUGGGCAAACAAGAAAGGGGAUUUCCAGUUGCACAACUGGACCAGCUGAGGGCAGGAAGUAUAUAGUAGGUGGUAAAAAUCCCCUUAGCCGUGGGCUGGUGUGAAGUCGGGAGCCAGGAAGGGCCGGACUCUGAGGAAGGACCACCCCUGGCAGAGACAGCUGGGACCUGCCAGGAGGGCAAAUGGGCCUUGGCCAUGCUGUGGUUCUGUGAUGGCCACACAUCAGACCCGACCUGAGCACAGACACAGGGGCCUGUCCCUGCGAGCCCUCGUGGGUGCCUGGCAGUCAGGAAGGGGCAGGGUCCCUGUCCUCCUGCUCCAACAGCACUUGGUGUGCAUGUCGGGGACGCAUGUGAGGACUUCAGGGUACGUGGGGCCCGAGUUUCAGACAGUGAGACCAGAGCCAUGGGGGUGGGGUGGAGGUGUGUGGACACCUUUAUUCCAGGGCUUUGGCCAAUGGGAGGUUUCCUUUCUGAGACUUGGAAGAACCACGGCAGGGAGACGGGUGGGCACGGUUCACGCACAUUUACACACAGCAUUUGAGGGAUGUGUUUUCAAAUGUCUGAAUGACACACAGAGGGAGAGAGACACAAGGAGACAGACAGGGUGACACAGAGAAUUGGGGCCACAGGGACCUGCGGGUGGAUAAGGCAGGAGGUGCCCCUCACAGGGCCAAGAAACUAAACUCUGCAUAUAUGUCCUCUGACGUGGAAGGAAGCUAUACUUUUUAAUAAAAUAAAAACUUCUGUGUGACCCGAACGAUAUCACUGAGCAUCUAGGGGAUGACAUAGAAGGACGGAGUGCCUGGCGGAGCCCUGGCAUCGGUGCCCUCCCAGCCCGAGGCUGUGUCCCCAAGGCCCGUGGCUGACACUGCAGAAAUCCCGAGCUCGCACGUGGCACAGCCC